CAGCACACAGAUGUAAAUCCUACAGAUCUUUUAACUAUAAACCUGAUGAUGGUGAUGAUCUCAACAGAAGAAGCUCCUCCUAUAAAGUUUUGUAGGUCGACUACAUCACAGAGACGCAAAAACAAGAAGAGACUCAAAACUCCUCAGUUUAUUUUAUGACUUUGGUGAUUUCAUUUGGAAAGCACAACAGACAUAAUGACAUACUGGAAAAGGGUGGUUCUCAUUCUCUUCACAUAUUUGUGGGGCUGUGAUUCUCUGGAGAGUGUUGAACAGAAAACAAGAGUUCAGAUUGCUUUUGAAGGUGAAUCAGUAACAAUCAACUGUACAUAUUCAACCACUGAUUCAUUUCCCGGAUCUGGUGAGAUUGAUGAACAGUUUAAAGUGAGAUUUGAUGCUAAUCUCAACACCUCUUCAAGAUCAGUUCCUCUGAUGAUCCAGGAUGUGUGUGUGUCUGACUCUGCUGUGUACUACUGUGCUCUGAGGACCACUGUGACUCAAACACACUCAACACUCACACAAAAACACUGCAAAUACAUGAGCCCUAAAUUAAAUAAUUACUGACUUGUCUUUGGAUUACAUGAAAGUCUAUCAUUUCACACUAUUCCACUUCAUAUUAUAAUCAAUUACCCAAUUUUUAAAUUUGACAUUAACUUUAGCCUAUAAUAAAUUAUAUUUAGACAGGCAUUUCAUGUCAAAACAAUCCUCAGUGAUCAAUAUGCUGUUAAAACACAUACAUUGAAUGUGAAAGGAGAUGCUAUUUUGUCAUUUUUGUUUUCAACAAGGGGGACGCAAUCCCCCUGCAUUCACCCUCAAAUCGAGCCCUGAUUACAGUAGAUCAAAUCUCUCUGUUUUAUUUGUGUUCAAAGACAGUCAUGGUAUCUGCAUACUAACAUGUUUGAUUAUAAUGCAAUAAUAAUAAUAAUAAUAAACAAUAAAAAACUGAACUCAUUAUUAAAGAUGUCACUCUCACAUCCAGCACUUUACUAUUGUGCUAUAUAUUCUCAAAUAUUCAAAUAAUAAUCAUAGAUCAAUUAGACAAAAACAUUAGUGAUUGUAACUGGAUCUUUCUUCUCCUCUCCAGGUGUGAAAUGUAAAACUUGGCCAUGAUGUUUCUCAGAGAGGAGGGACUACACAGAUCUGACACAAUCUGAUCACUUCAGUUAGAAACAAUUCAGUCUGAAUCAUCUUAAAGUGAACACAGCGCACUGCACAAUGGAGAUUUAUUCAGUUAUUCUCUUCUACAGUCUGGCAUCUGCUGUCUCUGCUGUCUGUCUGUCAGCUACUGUCUGUUAAACUCACUAAAUGGGAACAAACUCAUGUGGAUCUGGAGAUCUCCUCUGCUGCAGUAUCAGACUCUGCUCUGUAUUACUGUGCUCUGAGGCCCACAGUCACAGGAAACACAUCAGAUCUAUACAAAAACCUGUGACACAGUGAGAGAGAGCAAGAAGAGCUGAUACAGAGAGUCAAACAGUCUUAAAC